UUCCUAACCCCUUUUUCUCUCUAUUCUUUUUUGUUGAAGUCAGGGAAACAUUCAUAGAAAUUAAAAUUCUACAGGUUUUGUAAGAAAGUGGAGAUGUAUUGAAGAGCCUCCCAACCUUCAAAAUCUGACAACAAUCCGGUUUUGCUUUACCUUCAAGAUAAGAGAGUGAAUUGGCACUCUACUCCAUUUGAGGCAAGGUUGGAGAGAGCUUUGAAAAGUGGUUCUGCUGAGGCUUAAACUACUCAUACUCCUGGUGUAUGUUAGACAACCUUAUAAGUGGUUCUGUUGGAUUGUUGUUUUAUGUUCUCAGCAUCUAUAUUUUUUUAUUCUUUUGUAAAAUUCAAUUUGGUUGUUUGUGACAUCUGCUUGCCUGUUGUAAUUUCAUGAUUUAAUAUAAUUGAAUUUAUUCUUUUUAAUUGUAUCCAUAAUUCUUUCUGCAAUGCUGAUUUAUGAUUUUAUGAAGAUCAGUUUGGUUUUU